rnacentral:rRNA from 1 species
AGCAGCCGCGGUAAUUCCAGCUCCAAUAGCGUAUAUUAAAGUUGUUGCAGUUAAAAAGCUCGUAGUUGAACUUCGGGGUUCACCCAUUGGUCAGGCUUAAUUGUCUGUACUGGUGAGAUGAGUCUCUACCUUCUGAGGAACUUUCAUGCCAUUUGUUUGGUGUGAUUGGAAAUCAGGACUGUUACUUUGAAAAAAUUAGAGUGUUUAAAGCAGGCUAACGUCUGAAUACAUUAGCAUGGAAUAAUGAAAUAGGACGGAUUGAUUCUAUUUCGUUGGUUUCUAGGGUCACCGUAAUGAUUAAUAGGGAUAGUUGGGGGCAUUAGUAUUCAAUUGUCAGAGGUGAAAUUCUUGGAUUUAUUGAAGACUAACUACUGCGAAAGCAUUUGCCAAGGAUGUUUUCAUUAAUCAAGAACGAAAGUUAGGGGAUCGAAGACGAUCAGAUACCGUCGUAGUCUUAACCAUAAACUAUGCCGACUAGGGAUCGGACGCAGUUAAUUUUAUAAUGACGU